CAGGUGGCAUGCCACAACGUUGAAGAGUUCCAACGAAAAGUGACUUCCGUUUAUAGUAUAACUGCAGAAAAGUCUCGGAUAAAAAUGUAGACUAGUGAAUAUUUCUGGGUAUCAACGUUGUACCUUUCACCUGGAUUACAAACUAUUUAAAACUACCAAACACAGAUCUGUUCCAUGGGAAGUGGUACCAAGCUAGAGAAUUUCUGGAUACUUAUGGAUUAGAGGAAUCGGCGAACGUUUGUGAUUACUGGAAAAGGAUUUCCAGAGUCUGAAGAGCAAUGUGGCAUUCAUGUUUAAAAUUUAAACAUUCCUAUUGAAUAUGACAUGUGAGCUGAAAAUCUGUUUAAAUGUAUCACAGACUUAUACAUACAUGAUUCUCCUAUAUUAGUUCUGUAUUUGUUAAAAUAUAUAUAAAUAUGUCGUUUUCAAAUUAUGACAAGGAAACAGAGUGUGUAAUUAGCUGGUUCAAUAACUGGAGUGUAAUGCAGAAAGGUGAUUUUAUGUGCGAGUUGGUGGAGCGAGCUGUACCGACUAACGUUGACUCUCUAUUUGAUGCCAUGCACUCUUUAAAUGUGAGUAAUGACAGGCCUCCAAGUAUAUUCCAGUGUCAAAUGAAACUCUUCUCACAGUGGUUCGAUAGCUGGACAGACAAACAACGCAAUGACUUUAUGCUGAAACUCCACUGCACGGAUGCAGACUUUGUGACAAAAUUCAAUGAAGAGGUUGAGUUAUUGAAAGUAAAACUGUCAUAAAUUGAAGUGUACAUUCUGUGUUUGCUUUUCAGUCUUUGUAUAUACAUGUGCCUUUAAAAUUACAUAAAUUAUGAUUUACAUGUAUAGAGUUCAUUUAUGCAUGUGGCUAAAUAAAUAUAAUAAAUGCAU